CAGGCUCUGUCUCAUGCCUCUGCAUCCUGUCCUGAGCACCCAGCGGCAACAGGGGAAGUAUGCCCAGCUAACUUCAAAGCCCAAGGCCCACCCUUUCCUCCAGGGCCAGCCAGCUGUGUAGUGCUGCCAGGCAGCCUGGAGCUUUGAGAUGCCAAGUCUAAGGAUUUUAUACAAGUGAUUCCAUCUUGAUUUUGACUAUCUUCACGUCUGAAAAGAUUGUUCAGCAACUCCAUUAAAAGAAGAAGAGAAGACCAAAGAGGCAAGGAAGAAGACAAGAGGAAGAAGAAGGAGGAGCAGGAGGAAAAGGAGAAGAAGACAGGGAAGGGAGACUCAUUUAUAGACAGAGAUCAUUCUAGAAACUGUCCACCCAGAAGCAUCACCAAAGGCAAAAACAAAAAUGAAAUUAUUAUUAAUUUAGCAUUCAUCCUUGGGCUAGGACUCUUUUCCAUGCCUUUAAAUGUUACAUUAAAUGUAACAAUUCUACAGGACACCUCCAGGAUGUUGCUCCAAUGAGAGGCACUUCAGACCUCGCUGGUGACAGCAUCAUUUUGCUGACUCAGAGAAGCUGGAGCUAUGAACUUCCAACCUGUGUCUAGACCAGAGCAGUGACUGAAAAAGUUUCUGCCAUAGGUAGGUCCUAGGGUGGCCCUGACUGAACAGUCUUGGCUGGCUCACUGGUGAGCAGUCAACACUGCUAAUUUCAGUGCCAGCUCUGUCUGAAUUUGUUGAACUAGGAACAUACAACCAGCCAAAUCUCACUUAUUCUUGUUUAAUAGGAUGCUGGAAAUUGUAAGAAAAAAUGAAAUAAAAGAGAAAUCAAAAAUAUUGUCAUUGAGGUUGAAUUUCUUGCUUUAGAAACCUUUCAUUUUAUUUUUUAAAUUUUAAAGAUAGUAAACUCCAAUAAAACAAAAUAUA